rnacentral:rRNA from 1 species
UGGGGAAUUUUCCGCAAUGGGCGAAAGCCUGACGGAGCAAUGCCACGUGGAGGUGGAAGGCCUACGGGUCGUCAACUUCUUUUCUCGGAGAAGAAACAAUGACGGUAUCUGAGGAAUAAGCAUCGGCUAACUCUGUGCCAG